AAAUAAUAAGCCAUUAUUAAAAAAAUAAAUAAUAACCCAUUAUUAAAAAAACACAUGAACUUACCCCAUUUAGAAAUCAAUUUCAUCAUUGACCCCACCGAAUGGCUGAAAACCUGGGUGCACAAUGUCACCUUCAUCUUGUUGAUCUUCUCAGGGAUCACAUGUGCAUCUGUAAGUUUGUUGUUAAUUCUUAAUGUUUGGUCUGAUAAGUUCAAAUGGUGAAAUUGCUCAAUAUGAGACCACUUGGCAAUUUUUUUCUCCUCAUUCAAAAAAAAAUGUGCUUCUUUAACAAGGAGGUUGUUCCUCAAACCCUUAAAUAAAUGAGGAGUAUCAAAGAGGGGCACUACCUCCUUGUUAUUGAUUAAGAAGCCAAAAUAAUUAUCAUCCACUCCCAUUUUCAAGCAGAAAGCCUUUCUUUCUUGGAUUAACAGUUUUAUGGCUGCUUGGUUAUUGGUCCCUUGGCCACAGAUGGUGGCCAUAAAAUUCAAUCCGAUUUUUUGGCACUCUCCAAUCAAUUUUUUGAUUACAAUUUUCAAUGUUACACUGGUAAUGGGACCUUUACUGAAAGUGAAGGCAAGAGGUUGCUUGUAUUGCCUGUAUAAUCCCUUGAGGAAAAAUACAUUGGCAUGAUCAACCAACCUUGCCUUUCUUUCAGAUCCAUCAUCCUCCACUCCUAUGAUCUUAUCAGCAACUUGAUCAUACUUCAAAUUUGUGGACAAUGACAUUUCAUCAAAGAUAAGAGCGCAUACUUUAUCUUGACGAGAUUUAAUUUGACUCACGGUAUGUUCAAGUUGCUGAAAAAUGUGAGCAUUUAAUUCUGGAUUGAAUGUUAAUUUUUCCAAUAGUCUUGAUAAAGUUCUGCAAAAUAAUUUAUACAAGAGAUUUAUACGAGGGGGCGUUAAAGUAAAGAAUUACCAAAACUUGGUUAUUAUUAUUUUAGAUGCUUUUAACGAAAGUCAGUAAAGUGACAGAUCUUUAAAUUUGACAUAUUUAUAUUUAUUCACCUUUAUUUUGUAUUCUGAUAAAUCAAAUGAUCGAAUGAUUCAUUUGGUAAAAGUUCAUAAUCGAAAAUGAAAGAACAAAUAGCGUUAGCAAUUUUAGCUGGGACCAUUAUAGAGGAAUUGAUUUUUCAUAAUAGAUACAGUUGGUGUAGAAAAAAUAUAUCAAAAACAAUUGAAACAAAUCGACUAGUUGAUCUGGAAAAUUUUUACUGCAAGUCUCGCAAUAAUUAUCGAAGUUUAUUUUUAUAACUCCAAACUUCAUUGUGGAAAAUCAUGGACACUUCUAAGAUAAUUUGAAUGCACAUAAGUGGCUUUAUAGAAAUAGUUCUAGCUAUAUGUACAGUCUACCAAUUCGUUAUAUGGGAGGAGCUGUACCAAACUACCGAGGUUUUAUCGAUGGAACUAUUAGAGAAACUUGUUGACAAAGUAUCAUCACUAUGUAAAAUAUCAGUCUACUUCAUGUACCUGUUUGAAUGGAAGUAAUCAAGUAUUUCUUUUUAUGUAAAACCACCAGUAUUGGAAGAUUAUUUUGUUUAACAGAAUUAUGUAUUUUUGUACCUUUUCCUACAAUGAUUUUGAGAAAAGUGUACUUAACGUAUAAUUUUAUAACAACAUUACUGAUAAUUAA